rfam:Oryza nivara chromosome 1, whole genome shotgun sequence.
AAAAAAUUAAACCUUGAUUUUCUGUGUCCAAUUUUAACGGUCCGUCUUAUAUAAAAUUUUUUUUAUAAUUUGUAUUUUCAUUGUUAUUAAGAUGAUAAAACAUGAUUAAUAUUUUAUGCGUGACCUGUCUUUUUAUUUUUUUCAUAAUUUUUUCAAAUAAGACGGACGGUCAAACGUUGGGCACGGAAACCAGGGUUUGUCUUUUU